rnacentral:rRNA from 1 species
UACAUGGGGUGCAAACGUUGCUCGGAAUUAUUGGGCGUAAAGCGCGCGUAGGCGGUUACUCAAGUCGGAUGUGAAAGCCCUCGGCUUAACUGAGGAAGUGCACCCGAAACUGAGUAGCUAGAGUACCAAAGAGGGUCGCGGAAUUCCCGGUGUAGAGGUGAAAUUCGUAGAUAUCAGGAGGAACACCGGUGGCGAAGGCGGGUCUCUGGGCCAUUACUGACACUGAGAAGCGAAAGCAUGGGGAGCGAACAGG